UACGUAGGGGCUAGCGUUGUCCGGAAUCAUUGGGCGUAAAGAGCGUGUAGGCGGUCCGGUAAGUCCGCUGUGAAAGUCGGGGGGCUCAACCCGGGAACUGCGUCCGAUACUGGAAGGCUUGAAUCCGGGAGAGGGAUGUGGAAUUCCAGGUGUAGCGGUGAAAUGCGUAGAUAUCUGGAGGAACACCGGUGGCGAAGGCGACAUCCUGGACCGGCAUUGACGCUGAGGAGACGAAAG
rnacentral:rRNA from 1 species